rnacentral:rRNA from 1 species
AACGAUUGUUUUGAAGCUUCGGUGGAAGAACAAGGCGACGAGUGGCGGACGGGUGAGUAACGCGUAGGAAUCUGCCCUGAAGAGAGGGACAACCCGGGGAAACUCGNGCUAAUACCUCGUAAUCUCUUUUGAGCAAAGGUGCCCUUUGGGUAUCACUUUAGGAUGAGCCUGCGUUAGAUUAGCUAGUUGGUAAGGUAAAGGCUUACCAAGGCGACGAUCUAUAGCUGUUCUGAGAGGAAGAUCAGCCACACUGGGACUGAGACACGGCCCAGACUCCUACGGGAGGCAGCAGUGGGGAAUAUUGGACAAUGGGGGCAACCCUGAUCCAGCGAUGCCGCGUGUGUGAAGAAGGCCUGCGGGUUGUAAAGCACUUUUAGUGAGGAGGAAGAGCCUAAUGUAAAUAAUGUUAGGUAGUGACGUUACUCACAGAAAAAGCACCGGCUAACUCUGUGCCAGCAGCCGCGGUAAUACAGANGNGUGCAAGCGUUAAUCGGACUGACUGGGCGUNAAGGGCAUGUANGGUGGAUGUAGAAGUUAGAUGUGNAAUACACGGGGCUCAACCUGUGGGGCUGCAUCUAAACUGGACAUCUAG